UGGCUGCAUGUGAUGGGGUGUAUCAACUUCAAACGCCAAAAAGGUGUUGAUUCACGCCUGAGAGCUUAUUAGCCCCACCUUGUUACCUAACAGCUGUGCCAGGCUCAGGGAGCAGUUAAAGGGAAGGAGUUCAGUGCAAUUUGGGUGGAAGGGAGAAUUUAGGAAAGAUGUGGUUUGGAGUCCCCUCUCUGUAGGAAGGGCUGACAAAAAACAGACUCCAGAAAAAGCCCUGUGAGCCACUACUGUUCUGGAAGAGGAGAAACUGAAGAGGAGCCUAGGAGGGGUGUAAGAUGUUGUGCUGAUUGACAUUAUUUUGUUGGACAUGAUUUGUUUUGGACACUGAAACCCCCAAAGGAGUGCAACUAUAGUGUGGCAUGGCUGGAGGGCCCAGUCACCCUGGUACCCAACCAAUGAAGCCUUGAAGAGGAUAGCAAGAGAGUUGCGGAAAUGCUAUGCCAUUUAACAAGGGGGUGCUCUGAAAUGAAUGCAACAGGCUGCUGCUACUGCUGGAAGUGCUAGUCUCACAGAUCUGCUCACCCAGAAGACUAUCUUCUGGUAAUAAAGUCUCUGCCCACAGCCGACAGAUACCAUCAUGGCAUGAAGUAGAAGAGAUGACUUCCACCCAGUCAUUGGAUACCAUACCUUUAAGAGACAAUCAUCCUGGGCAAAGAAACAAAAACAUGUAUACAAACGUCACAAAAAGGAAACCCAAAAGUAUGGAUGAAGUUAGCUUGGUGGUGUACAUCUAGUGACGUAGUUAAUUAAAACCAAGUUGAAAUGUUAAUACAGCAUCACCACCAAUACCAAGAGGCAACUUAUUAAAAAUGUAUAUUUUUAAUGUGUGUGGAGAAUUAAU